UCUAGAACUCGAGAUAUAGGCUGAACACUGAACAAUGUCUGGGCUGCAGGAUAUAUUUGGACUUCUCCGUUGUUGUCUAUAAUUUGGACUUGAAAACGGCCUUUUUAAAUCUUGGACUCCUCAUGAAAGUUUUAGGCCUAUGUCUUAGCUUUCCAUC
rfam:Populus trichocarpa scaffold_7_contig_146, whole genome shotgun sequence.